rnacentral:rRNA from 1 species
AGUGAACGCUGGCGGUAGGCCUAACACAUGCAAGUCGAACGGCAGCACAGUAAGAGCUUGCUCUUACGGGUGGCGAGUGGCGGACGGGUGAGGAAUACAUCGGAAUCUACUUUUUCGUGGGAGAUAACGUAGGGAAACUUACGCUAAUACCGCAUACGACCUACGGGUGAAAGCAGGGGAUCUUCGGACCUUGCGCGAUUGAAUGAGCCGAUGUCGGAUUAGCUAGUUGGCGGGGUAAAGGCCCACCAAGGCGACGAUCCGUAGCUGGUCUGAGAGGAUGAUCAGCCACACUGGAACUGAGACACGGUCCAGACUCCUACGGGAGGCAGAAGUGGGGAAUAUUGGACAAUGGGCGCAAGCCUGAUCCAGCCAUACCGCGUGGGUGAAGAAGGCCUUCGGGUUGUAAAGCCCUUUUGUUGGGAAAGAAAAGCAGCAGGUUAAUACCCCGCUGUUCUGACGGUACCCAAAGAAUAAGCACCGGCUAACUUCGUG